AAUGAUUAUGGGAUCCAACAGCGCCUGCCUCUACAUCGGGUUUCCUUCAGAGCGAGGCAGUGAGGACUUGAGCAGAUUUGAUUAUGACUUUUUCCAGCUGGAGAGAGCGGCUUCGGAGGGAGUGAGUGUGGACAAGCUCGUGGGGAUGGCAAGGCAGACCCCAGUGUCCUGGCUGUGUUCCAGGACUACAUCAAACUGAUGCCACUGGUUGCAGAAGCGAAUCAAAUGAGUGAAGAGCUGAAGAAGAGCACGUGGUGAGGAGGAUGUGGUUAUUGACCCACUGGAGCUGCUGGGCAAGAGAAUGGAUUUCCAGAUUCGCAUUGUGCGGGGCCUUGGCACCAAGUGGCUAAAGGAAGGUGCAGAGCGGGGUGUUCAGGUGGGGUACCAGCCUGCCCUGCAGAGCUGCUGAACACAAACUGCCCACUUUGUGGGCCCUGGUGGGAGGGAGUCUUGCCUCAAGUUUUAAGAAUGAGCUAUCAUGUCAUUUUCUUAAGUUUUUUUGCUUGUUCAACCCCCAAAUGACUAUUUCCUCCAA